GUAGGUGAUAUAUUAAUAUAUUUUAUGUUUGUUUUUUGAAUAAUUUGUUUUUGUUUGUAUAGUACUUGUUAGUAGUGAAGUGAGCCUCUAACGUAAAAGAAUAUUGAAUUUCAAUAACUUUGUAUCUACGCAUUUGUUGAUUAUAAGAUUAACGAUUUCAGCGUCAAAAUUGUAUUUUAUUUUAUUUUAUUUUUUUGAAAAUUAUAACUAUGUUUUAUGCCCUCUCCCCAUAUUUUGACCUUGAGCUGUCACGGUCUAUGUAUUUCGUUACCUUUCUGGUGUGCGAUUGUUCUCACCAUCACCGGAAAAAGAUUCACCUCUUUCUCUUAUUCUUCUUUGCCUUCUUCACAUGUGAGAUUAUAUGGUAUUUGUUGUAGAUCAGGUUUAUGAGUUUUCAGUUGUUCGGUUGAUUCUCACGGCAUUGUAGGUUGUUCCAAUCAAUAUUGACAGGUCCUCUUCUUCCUUAGAUUUCAGCUGAUGUUUGGAACUGCGUCUCUUUGGUUGGGCCAGAGUUUAGUCGUCUUUGAUGUUGUAUUCAUCGUUGUUGGCUUACCGUCAAUAGUGUCUCUGUUCGUCUUGGUUUUCAAGAUCUAUUUUUCGGUGUUCUGAUCUAUAUGUUCUCUUUUAUAUCUCGAGGACGGCUCCAUAGUUUGCUGAUUUCGUUUCGUCUCUCUUUCUCUCUCUAUUCUCGCAUCUCUUUGCAACUUUCAUUGCAUCUCUGGUGGCUCUCCCUUUCACCAUGUUUGCCACUUCAGGUUUCGUUCGUGUAUGCUAUGUGGGCUUGGAAGGUUAUUUAUGGUCUCAAGUUUAGUCUCUGAUUUCUGAGUGGUUGUCUUUCAUUCUCUCUCUCUCAAGUUGUUUCUUUUCUUUCUAUAUUUCUUUUGGUAUAGGUGUGCGGAGUUAGUCUCUUGGAGCUUUGGUCACUUCUAUCCAGAGCUUCGUGGUUUGCACUUGCAUGGCCAUCUUGUAUGUUCUUGUUUAGUUUGUGAGGUGUUUCUUACCUUUUAGCUACUGGUUGUGAUUUCAGUGCUUUAGUCAUAUAUCAUCCUGCUUUUUGGUGGCUUUGGCCUUUCGAUUAUUAUUCUUUCUUUGUCCCGCUUUCUUGGUUAUUUGCGUUGAUGCUCUAGUUUCUUAUUCUUAGUUUGAUUAUCUUAUGAUAUUAAUAGUGAAAUAAAUAUAUAAUUUGUAAAUGAAAUAAUAAAAAUUAGUAAAUAAUAAAAUGGUGAAAGUUU
rnacentral:lncRNA from 1 species